AUGAGCAGUGGGUCACGGGGCGUUGGAAUGGAAGACCUGGACAACUUCUUUGGUCAGCUUGACCUAGAAGAUGAGGUGUUCGAUGACCUAGUAAUCAAUGAAGUGGUCCCGGAGAUCAGCGAGCGUGUCCGCUGGAUGGCUCUUGCCCGUGUUCAUACUGACGAGUCCUUCAACCACUCGGCAUUCUUCAAGGACAUGAGGGCGGCGUGGAACGCGGCACAGCCGGUGAGGUUCAGGCCAGUCGGGACCAAUUUGUUCGUUGUGCAAGCAUCUUGUUUGGGCAAUUGGGAAAGAAUCAUGCAUCAAGGUCCUUGGUUAUUCAGAUUCUGGGCAGUGUUUCUCCAUCCUUAUGAGCCGAGGACACACAGAUUGUACACAUGCCAAUCUGGCUACAGAUUCAUCAGCUCCCGGAUGGUUAUUGCAACAAGGAUAUUGUUGAGAAACUAA
rnacentral:rRNA from 1 species